rnacentral:rRNA from 1 species
UAACACAUGCAAGUCGAACGGAAAGGCCCUGCUUUUGUGGGGUGCUCGAGUGGCGAACGGGUGAGUAACACGUGAGUAACCUGCCCUUGACUUUGGGAUAACUUCAGGAAACUGGGGCUAAUACCGGAUAGGAGCUCCUGCUGCAUGGUGGGGGUUGGAAAGUUUCGGCGGUUGGGGAUGGACUCGCGGCUUAUCAGCUUGUUGGUGGGGUAGUGGCUUACCAAGGCUUUGACGGGUAGCCGGCCUGAGAGGGUGACCGGCCACAUUGGGACUGAGAUACGGCCCAGACUCCUACGGGAGGCAGCAGUGGGGAAUAUUGCACAAUGGGCGGAAGCCUGAUGCAGCAACGCCGCGUGCGGGAUGACGGCCUUCGGGUUGUAAACCGCUUUCGCCUGUGACGAAGCGUGAGUGACGGUAAUGGGUAAAGAAGCACCGGCUAACUACGUGCCAGCAGCCGCGGUGAUACGUAGGGUGCGAGCGUUGUCCGGAUUUAUUGGGCGUAAAGGGCUCGUAGGUGGUUGAUCGCGUCGGAAGUGUAAUCUUGGGGCUUAACCCUGAGCGUGCUUUCGAUACGGGUUGACUUGAGGAAGGUAGGGGAGAAUGGAAUUCCUGGUGGAGCGGUGGAAUGCGCAGAUAUCAGGAGGAACACCAGUGGCGAAGGCGGUUCUCUGGGCCUUUCCUGACGCUGAGGAGCGAAAGCGUGGGGAGCGAACAGGCUUAGAUACCCUGGUAGUCCACGCUGUAAACGGUGGGUACUAGGUGUGGGGUCCAUUCCACGGGUUCCGUGCCGUAGCUAACGCUUUAAGUACCCCGCCUGGGGAGUACGGCCGCAAGGCUAAAACUCAAAGGAAUUGACGGGGCCCCGCACAAGCGGCGGAGCAUGCGGAUUAAUUCGAUGCAACGCGUAGAACCUUACCUGGGUUUGACAUGGAUCGGGAGUGCUCAGAGAUGGGUGUGCCUCUUUUGGGGUCGGUUCACAGGUGGUGCAUGGCUGUCGUCAGCUCGUGUCGUGAGAUGUUGGGUUAAGUCCCGCAACGAGCGCAACCCUUGUUCACUGUUGCCAGCACGUUAUGGUGGGGACUCAGUGGAGACCGCCGGGGUCAACUCGGAGGAAGGUGGGGAUGACGUCAAGUCAUCAUGCCCCUUAUGUCCAGGGCUUCACGCAUGCUACAAUGGCUGGUACAGAGAGUGGCGAGCCUGUGAGGGUGAGCGAAUCUCGGAAAGCCGGUCUCAGUUCGGAUUGGGGUCUGCAACUCGACCUCAUGAAGUCGGAGUCGCUAGUAAUCGCAGAUCAGCAACGCUGCGGUGAAUACGUUCCCGGGGCUUGUACACACCGCCCGUCAAGUCAUGAAAGUUGGUAACACCCGAAGCCGGUGGCCUAACCGUUGUGGGGGAGCCGUCGAAGGUGGGACUGGUGAUUAGG